rfam:Ovis aries breed Texel chromosome 3, whole genome shotgun sequence.
UCCCUGGUGGUCCCAUGGCUAGGGCUCUGUGUUUCUAAUGCAGGGGCCCCAAGUUCAAUCCCUGGUCAGGGAA